ensembl:lncRNA
CAUGGAUGAAUAUUCUUUUUCCUUUGGCUUGAAGUUUUAAGCUGCUUACAACAUGUGGAAUUCAAAGCUGCAGGCACACAACUGCCAGAACUGUCAGGAAGAUUAACAACAGCAACAUGGAUGGAACUGGAGAUCACCACAUUACGUGAAAUAUGCCAGGCACAGAAAGACAAAUAUCACAUGUUCUCAUUUAUAUAUGGGAGCUGAAAAAGUUGAUCUCAGGAGGUUAUCAAGUUCAUUCAGUGGGGAAAUAAUGGCAUAUUCAAAAGAUGGUGCUGGGUCAGCUGAAUUUCUACAUGCAAAAGAAUGAAGUGGGAUCCCUAACUCCUACAACAUAUGCAAAAAGAUGGAACACCAGACUGUGGUUCCAGAAAACCAGCCUUGCAAAAAUGGGCAACCUCUUCAGAAUUGGUGAAAUAAUGAGAAAGAAGAAUUGCCCAGAACUUCAUGGAGCUGAGCCAUUUACCCAUCCUGGAAUAUCCACCUUCCAUGGAAUUUUUUUUAAUGUUUUUUCUUCUUCUUUAACCCACUAAUUAUCUCUCUUUUCCUCUCUCUCUGUCUCAUCUCCACUCCUUUCCACAACAACAUAGACUGUAUAUGAGUAUAUAUUUUAGCAUAUUGAAUAAUAAAGUACAUACACAAAUAUUUAUGGAACUGCUCAAUUAGAAAAAAAGGACAUUUAAUA